rnacentral:misc_RNA from 1 species
UCGCGGCUUAUCACCGGCAGUCCCCUUAGAGUGCCCAACUUAAGGCUGGCAACUAAGGGCGAGGGUUGCGCUCGUUGCGGGACUUAACCCAACAUUUCACAACACGAGCUGACGACAGCCAUGCAGCACCUGUGUCUAGGUUCCCCGAAGGGCACCCCCUGAUCUCUCAGGGGUUCCUAGCAUGUCAAGACCUGGUAAGGUUCUUCGCGUUGCUUCGAAUUAAACCACAUGCUCCACCGCUUGUGCGGGUCCCCGUCAAUUCCUUUGAGUUUUAGCCUUGCGGCCGUACUCCCCAGGCGGGGCGCUUAAUGCGUUAGCUGCGGCACCGAGGCAGAGCCCCAACACCUAGUGAACAUCGUUUAUGGCCAAGACUAC